rnacentral:rRNA from 1 species
CCUACGGGAGGCAGCAGUGAGGAAUAUUGGUCAAUGGACGAGAGUCUGAACCAGCCAAGUAGCGUGAAGGAUGACUGCCCUAUGGGUUGUAAACUUCUUUUAUAUGGGAAUAAAACGUUCCACGUGUGGGAUUUUGUAUGUACCAUAUGAAUAAGGAUCGGCUAACUCCGUGCCAGCAGCCGCGGUAAUACGGAGGAUCCGAGCGUUAUCCGGAUUUAUUGGGGUUAAAGGGAGCGUAGGUGGAUUGUUAAGUCAGUUGUGAAAGUUUGCGGCUCAACCGUAAAAUUGCAGUUGAAACUGGCAGUCUUGAGUACAGUAGAGGUGGGCGGAAUUCGUGGUGUAGCGGUGAAAUGCUUAGAUAUCACGAAGAACUCCGAUUGCGAAGGCAGUUCACUGGACUGCAACUGACACUGAGGCUCGAAAGUGUGGGUAUCAAACAGGAUUAGAUACCCGUGUAGUA